UACGUAGGUGACCAGCGUUGUCCGGAUUUACUGGGCGUAAAGAGCGCGCAGGCGGUCGUUCAAGUCGAGUGUGAAAGCCCCCGGCUCAACUGGGGAGGGUCAUUCGAUACUGAUCGACUUGAAGGCAGGAGAGGGAAGUGGAAUUCCCGGUGUAGUGGCGAAAUGCGUAGAUAUCGGGAGGAACACCAGUGGCGAAGGCGACUUCCUGGCCUGUUCUUGACGCUGAGGCGCGAAAGCUAGGGGAGCAAACGGG
rnacentral:rRNA from 1 species